UUUUUGUGUGUAUGGGGGUGGGCAAUGUAUGUUUUACUAAUCAUUCAGGAAUGAAUCGUGUCAUAUUUAUCCGUAUACCAUUCGUGCCAAUUCUGUAUAACUACAUAUAUUUCAAACAUUUACAUUACACAAUUAAUGCAAUUUUAGCCAAACAAUGGGAAAUUAUCGUUCAAAAAAUAUGCUAUCUAUGCGUGUAUUACAUUUGUUUUCUUUCAAUGAAUCAAACUGCGCAUAAAUAAAUGAUAAAUAAUAUAUUUCCCUUUUUAUUACUCUUUAAUUAUAACUCGACGCAAGUCAAUCACCACUGACGGAAAUCGUAUUGACACAACGCAAUGAAUUUACUGCUUAAUAUACGCAAAAGCGGUUUUAAUUAGGAUAACAAAUGUGUUUAUAAUAAAAACGUUACUAGUUUACGUAUUUUGAAACUGUUUUCGAAAACAAGUAACUGGUUAUAUAAACAUUACACCACUACAAACCAAACAAUUGAAGUAAGGCUGGGAAGUGAAGAGGGUCGAAGAUCAGAAAUGGAAUUCCCGCGGUGGAAUAGAAACUGUUACUAUGAAUCGAUAUAAAUCAACUAGGACAUUAAUGAAAGUUGAAAUAUGUUGUUAUAUUUUGGUUCAUUUGUUUGCUUGCGGCGUUGCCUGGCCCAGAUACGGACGACCACAUCCUUUAUACAAUGGAAGACAACAAAGAAAUGAAAAUAUUUUCACAAAUGCUGUUCUACUUGGAUUGGAUUUCAAUGAAAUACAGCCCUUGCAAAGGGCAUUUGGUCAAUGGUUUGGCUUUGGCAAUUUGGGUCUGCUAAACAGUGGUUUUCCAAUGAACGCUUACGAACG
rnacentral:lncRNA from 1 species